GGGGCUGUAGCUUAGCGGGGAGAGCGCCUGCUUUGCACGCAGGAGGUCAGGGGUUCGAAUCCCCUCAGCUCCACCA
rnacentral:tRNA from 1 species